rnacentral:rRNA from 1 species
CACGUAGGGCGCAAGCGUUGUCCGGAAUUAUUGGGCGUAAAGAGCUCGUAGGCGGUUCUGUUGCGUCCGCUGUGAAAACCCAGGGCUUAACCCUGGGCUGGCAGUGGAUACGGACAGACUAGAGGUAGGUAGGGGAGAAUGGAAUUCCCGGUGUAGCGGUGAAAUGCGCAGAUAUCGGGAGGAACACCGGUGGCGAAGGCGGUUCUCUGGGCCUUACCUGACGCUGAGGAGCGAAAGCGUGGGGAGCGAACAGG